UAAUAAUUAGUUUAAAUAAAAUUAAUAAUUUCGACUCAU
rnacentral:tRNA from 1 species